UCACCACACAGCUGGAGGCUAGAGCUUCUAGAUUCAUCUAUAUACUUAAGAAUUUCCAGUUUUGGAAAAAAGAUUUCAGAGUCCUGAGUGCUAGUGAUUACUGCUACUAUGUAGCAGCCAAUACCCAGGAAAGAAGGCCAUUAACAUCCUUCAGAACCUACCCAAGAUCACCACAUUUGGUGAGAUCAGAGCCCCCAUUCCCUGCACUCAUGCAAGUUAUUCUCCAAAAAUGCCAGAAGUCAAAUUCAAACCAAUCUAAAUGGCACCAGGAUGCCAACAAGAAGAGGAGGACAAUGCUUCCCAGGGACAUUCCUUCCAUCAAGAGCACAGCAGACA
rnacentral:lncRNA from 10 species